UUUUACAAUUCCUGAAUUGAAAGUUGCGUAGAGAGAGAAGACGUAGUGGAAUUUGGUCCGUGUAUGAAACGAAGGAGCCAGGAGCGAACACGAUGCCCCUAACCUCCUCAUCAUAACCUUCAAAAAAAUUCUCACUCUCUCUUAUUCCUCUUCUUCUUCUUCUUCAUCAUUUCUCAAUUCAACUUGGAACAUUCUCAAUGGCCACCACCACAACUGAAUCAUCUCCUCCCUCUUCCCUCGACCACGCCCUUCGCGACGUCGACGACUACGUUCUGGCAGAUGAACCGGAAGGUUUGGCACGGGAUACAUUACAUCAUGUUUAUGAGCUUGUUCAGAAAGGCAAUGAAGCAUUUCGAGAGAACAGAAUGGAAGCGGCAAUCAACUUCUACUCAAGAGCCAAUAACAUCAAAUCUGGUGAUCCAAUCAUCCUCAGAAAUCGAAGCACUGCUUAUGUUAGGAUUAGCAAAUAUUUAAUGCACAGACCACCAUCAUCUUCGGAGCAUAGGCCAUUGAGUGGGCUUGAUCCCACAACACUUGCUGAACUGGGUUUGAAGGAUGCUGAGAAGCUGGUUGAACUCCAAAGUAAUUCAGUAAAGUCAUACAUUUUAAAGGCCAAUGCUCUUCUUCUGUUGGAGAAAUAUGAAAAUGCCCGGGAUGUUAUUCUUUCAGGACUUCAAGUUGAUCCUUUUAGUAAUUCUCUUCGGGAUUCUCUUCAAAAUUUGGAAAGAGUGUCAUCUAGUUCAAAAGGGAUGAGCACUCAUGGACCGACAGAGCGUAAUGAUGACUUUGAUUGCACUCUGUGCCUGAAGUUACUGUAUGAACCUGUGACAACCCCUUGUGGACAUUCUUUUUGCCGUUCAUGUCUAUUUCAGUCAAUGGAUUGUGGGAACAGAUGCCCAUUGUGCAGGACUGUUUUGUUUAUUAGUCCUAGAACGUGUUGCACCAGUGUGACAUUGAAGAACAUCAUACAAAAGAACUUUCCUGAGGAAUAUGCUGAAAGGAAGCAAGAGAAUGACAGUUUAAUCAACGGUGGUGUAGAUUUUCUCCCUCUUUUUGUCAUGGAUGUUGUCAUACCAUGUCAAAAGUUUCCACUCAAUAUAUUUGAACCUCGGUACAGACUUAUGGUAAGAAGAAUAAUGGAAGGCAAUCAUCGCAUGGGAAUGGUUAUAAUUGAUUCUUCAACUGGUUCCUUAGCUGAGUUUGCCUGUGAAGUGGAGAUCACAGAGUGUGAGCCCCUUCCUGAUGGUCGGUUUUAUAUAGAGAUUGAAAGUCGUAGGAGAUUUCGCAUCAUCCAAUCUUGGGAUCAAGAUGGGUAUCGUGUUGCAGAGGUUGAAUGGAUACAGGAUAUUAUGCCACCAGAAGGGACAAGAGAAAGACAGAUAUUGCAGGAAUUGACAUCUAAUGCGGCAGAAAGUGCCCGAUCAUGGAUAGCAAGAGCUAAAGAAGCAGCAAGACAAGAUCAAAGAAAACUUGAGAGGCUCCUGAAUGUUGAAGUAAUGAUGCCCUCACCACGAGAUCCCGAGCGCUUUAGUUUUUGGCUGGCCACCCUCUCCAAUCGGAGGCCUUCAGAAAGAUUGGACCUCCUUCGUAUUAGAGAUACCACAGAGAGGAUUAGACGAGGUUUGAUAUUUCUCCGACAAGAGGAACAAGGCUGCAGAAUUCAAUAAGACAAGCUGAGGAGGGCUUCCAUUAUUAAUGCAAUUGAUUAUUUGUUUAUUGUAAAUUCAUUUACAAGCCAAUCAAUAUUCUUUGGCCUCAGAAAUGACUGUUAAUGAGGUCAAUUUUGUUGUAACAUAGACCCAGUUCUGUUCAACACAUUGAUUCCUGUGUGAUGAGCCAUUGAUAGCUGUCAAGGGAGCUGAUCAACCAGCUGAUGGGGCACUGUUGUGUAUUGGGUUUAUGUCAUGCGUCAAUACAGUUUUCACUCUGUUCCUAUCUAACUAGUUUAUUUUUCAUCAA